UACGUAGGGACCGAGCGUUGUCCGGAAUUAUUGGGCGUAAAGAGCUCGUAGGCGGUUUGUCGCGUCUGCUGUGAAAACGCGAGGCUCAACCUCGCGCCUGCAGUGGGUACGGGCAGACUAGAGUGCGGUAGGGGAGAUUGGAAUUCCUGGUGUAGCGGUGGAAUGCGCAGAUAUCAGGAGGAACACCGGUGGCGAAGGCGGGUCUCUGGGCCGUAACUGACGCUGAGGAGCGAAAGCGUGGGGAGCGAACAGG
rnacentral:rRNA from 1 species